rnacentral:rRNA from 1 species
CACUCCUGCGGGAGGCAGCAGUGGGGAAUAUUGGACAAUGGGCGCAAGCCUGAUCCAGCCAUGCCGCGUGAGUGAUGAAGGCCCUAGGGUUGUAAAGCUCUUUCACCGGUGAAGAUAAUGACGGUAACCGGAGAAGAAGCCCCGGCUAACUUCGUGCCAGCAGCCGCGGUAAUACGAAGGGGGCUAGCGUUGUUCGGAUUUACUGGGCGUAAAGCGCACGUAGGCGGACUAUUAAGUCAGGGGUGAAAUCCCGGGGCUCAACCCCGGAACUGCCUUUGAUACUGGUAGUCUUGAGUUCGAGAGAGGUGAGUGGAAUUCCGAGUGUAGAGGUGAAAUUCGUAGAUAUUCGGAGGAACACCAGUGGCGAAGGCGGCUCACUGGCUCGAUACUGACGCUGAGGUGCGAAAGCGUGGGGAGCAAACAGGAUUAGAUACCCCAGUAGUCCCAUGA